AUACGGAGGGUGCAAGCGUUGUUCGGAAUCACUGGGCGUAAAGGGCGCGCAGGCGGUUUGGUAAGUCAGAUGUGAAAGCCCACGGCUCAACCGUGGAAGUGCAUUUGAAACUGUCAGACUUGAGUACUAGAGGGGAAAGUGGAAUUCCCGGUGUAGAGGUGAAAUUCGUAGAUAUCGGGAGGAAUACCGGUGGCGAAGGCGACUUUCUGGCUGAAUACUGACGCUGAGGCGCGAAAGCGUGGGGAGCAAACAGGAUUAGAAACCCGUGUAGUCC
rnacentral:rRNA from 1 species